UUUGUGUUGAUUUUACUUAUUUAGCAUAUUAUAUGAUUUUUGUUUAUAAAUACAUAAGCCCUAAAUAUACUACCGUGCUUGAAACAAGUAAAGGUCAUUAAUGUUUUGAUAAUUUGUUUUAUUUAAAAACUUUGCUAAGAUGUCUUUAGAAAACGAAAUUAAAGUUCUUAAAGAAAACAAUAAUGAACUCGUUCAGAAAGUCCAAUUCUGGAAAAUGACUGCUGCACAAAGAGAAAAUGAAAAUGUAGAGCUCAUGAAAGAAAUCACAGAUCUUCGACUAAAGCUCAGUAGGCUUAAAAACGCGGGGAACGAUGAAGCUCACAAAUUGGAUGCAGCAGUGCAAAAAUCGAGUGAGGAGGUUCUGUCCCACUUAGUCCAGGCUUCGAAUGCGGUGGCUCGCUCCAUGGACUUUGUAAAAACCUACAUGCACAAGAGGCAGGAGCUGGAGGCUACGCUGCCCAGGUGGAGCACCAUCAGCGAAGAUCACUCCACAAAGAAGAUUCAUAAAGUGAGGCCAAUGGUCGCUGGCAGGAGUGUCCAACAACCAUUCGUUUUGUUGGAUAGAAGUGUUGUCAGAAGAAACCAAACAAAUGAUAGAAAUGAGGAUCAGAAUCACAAUGUAGCAGAGAGGGCCAUACCAAUGCAUAUGUUGCUAGAUGUUUACAUACCCUUAAGAAGGAUAGAUGCUGAGGGCACACAGGCCACCAGUGACACCAAUGAGGAUGAGGAACAGGAUCCCAACGACAGUGCAGAGAACUUGGGCUUGGAAGGUGGGGAGGAGAGAGUUCCAGAUGAAUUUGAAAAUGUUACAACUGAUGAUGCAUUUGAGGAGACAAGGGGCCUGCAGGCUGUGUCAGAAGAAUCAGAGGAAGAGGCUGAACAAACUCCACAGAGACCUCAAACUGAUGAUCCCCUAGAAGGUCCUAGUUGGUUGUUGGACAGGCCAAAUCCGAUGGUGACGACGCGUCGUAAUUUAGAGCCGGACUCGACGACGGGCACCGAAUAUAAUAACCACUCUCCCGGAGUAGAGCAAAUGAUAAACAAGAUAAGAAGGAACAGUCAGGUGAUGCGCGACGCAGCAGGCGACUGCGUGCGCGCGGCGUACGCGUCGCCGGGCGGGGCUAACGUGUUCUCGCCCACCGUGCGUCGGCGCCGCGCCACGCCCCCGCCCCCCGCCACGCCCGCCUCCCCGCAUCCCGCCAGACGCUCCAGCAACAUUAGCGGGCGCGUCCUGAAAGUGCUGGUGCCGAAGAUCCACCUGGAGGCGUCGCCGGUGUCGCCGCUGGUGUCGCCGACGCUGCCGGUGCGGCACAAGCGGCGCGCGCACGACGCCGCUGACUCGCCGCUCAAGCGCCCAAACAUCAUGCGCUUCGACGCCCCCAGCCCCAACGGGGCUACUGACUCCAAAGUUAUUGUUAUGGAUACAAACUGCAGUCAGCCGGAGCCGGGCGGGUCGGGGACGAGACGGCAGUCAGUGCGGGACGGCCGACCGGACGAUCGAAGCCCGGACAAGCGAGCGAGUCGGCCGGCUAGUCAUUCGGUUCGGGAUGGCCGGCCGGACGAGCAGCCGGACAAGCGAGCGGGCGUGGCCGGUCGAGACAGUCGACCGGCCGACCGGACCGGACGGGAGAGCCGGCCGGAAGAUCGGACCGGACGGGAGAGCCGGCCGGAAGACCGGGACAGCCGGUCCGUCAGUCAGUCGGUCCGGGACAGCGACAGCGAGAGCGAGAUGCUGGCCGACCGCCGCCCAAGACGACAGAAGAAGGCUGUCGUAUACAAAGAGAAACCACUCAACAGAAAAAUGCGAAGAUGAAGACUGAUGACAUCAGACUGAUAGUAAAUAGAAGUAGUUAGCCGAAGGAAAAUAGGUUAUCUCACUCGUGUUCGCGCUGUUUCGAUGCUUGAGAAUCGGGCCACAGGUGAUACGAGGACAUAAUAGGAAUUGUGAGCCCACCACGUUAGUUAUUUAGAUACUUACUUUUAAUUUAAGUACGACUAAAAUACUGAGCCCUUAGACAAGAUAUUUUCGAUAUUUCACUAUCGAAAUUCGAAAUCAAAUGUGUGGGAUUGGACAUAUUGGCAUCAUAAAAUAUGACAUGUUACCUGGGCGGUGGGCCCUUAUUCAUGUUAAGUUAUUCAAUAUGUUGCAUCCUGCAUUUAAAUCGGAGGACCAUAAGUUUGUACCCUGUUGUUUAGCAUUAUUACUAUUACUAGCAUUAUAUUAAAAUAAUAUAAAUAGUAAAUAAGUUGUUAUGACCAAUUUUGUGUCACACAGAUGCUGUAAAUAGCAGGUGUCUUAUAUGAAUGCAUUUGAACAGUGUCUUAUGUAUUAUUUAUACUGAAUUGCCUAACUAGAACAUAACAUUUAAAAACUUCAAUACUCAAGUAGUCAUGGCGUUAUUACUUGUAAUUUGUAAA